CUGCACCAUUCCCAGCUGGAUUUUCCAUGGAAAAUUUGGAUUUUGGGAGCAAACUCGACCCUGUGGGGAUCUGUGGCAGGUGGAAAAAUGGGAAUUUUGUGUGGGAAUGUUCCAAAAUGGAUUUUUAGAAUCCCAAAUUCCUUGGGAUCGGAUUUUCCCGGGAUGCUUUCCCCAUGUCCUCUCGUGUCCCCAAUGUCCCCAAUGUCCCUGUGUGUCCCCAAUGUCCCUGUGUGUCCCCAAUGUCCCCAUGUCCCCAAUGUCCCUGUGUGUCCCCAUGUCCUCUCAUGUCCCCAUGUCCUCUCAUGUCCCCAAUGUCCCUGUGUGUCCCCCUGUCCCCAAUGUCCCAAAUGUCCCCAUGUCCCCAAUGUCCCUGUGUGUCCCCAUGUCCCCAAUGUCCCUGUGUGUCCCCAUGUCUCCAAUGUCCCCAAUGUCCCCAAUGUCCCCAAUGUCCCCAAUGUCCCCGUGUCCCCGCAGGGAUUCCCGUGGCAGGCGGUGAUGUCGGACAAGGGCGGCAGCAUGGACGGCAGGACGGACAUUGUCAACGGCAGCCUGUCCAGCAGCCCUGAGGACAUGUCAGCCGAGGAGAGCCGGUGUCACUGUGCUGUCCCAUGGUGACACUGUGUGAUCCCCUGUCCCCAGGCAGUACAG
rnacentral:lncRNA from 1 species